UUAAUAUAUAUAUAUAUAUAUAUAUAUAUAUAUAUGAAAAUGUGUUUUUCCUGUAUAUAUAUGAAAAUGUGUUUUUCCUGUAUAUGUCAAACAAACAACUUUCACCCAGUAUUGUAUCUAUAGGGAGAGUAAAUAAAAACGACAUACAACAGGUCAGACCUUGAACGUCAAUCUCUGCGGUCCACACCGGUCAAUGCUGCAGGUUCACUGCAGUGGACAGUGGGUUAUGACAAAUACUUUUAACAUUUCUAAAGGUUUAAAACAUUAAUAGAUGUCUUAAUAGCGCUGGUCCAAUUUGAGAUGUUUUACAAACACGACUGAUCAAACUGCAAUGGCACAAGGAUUACUAACAUCUCUGGACUGGAUUCCUUCCCCUCCUGAGACAGACGGACAACAACCACAUGUUUUCACCCUCGGGGUAAGUACUACAAGCCUUUCAUGUCCUGUCAAAGGUUUUCUGCCUUUGGACUGAUAAGGCAGAAUUUGACAAUUGUUAACGUGCCGUGUGUAACUGUGUAACUUGACUUAAUUUUCCCCAUCCAAGAUCAUUAAUCUCAGAGGUGUCGUGCAUAACUUUGAGGGCACCGAUGGCCAAAUCUUAGACUUAUGCAUAAAAUAAACGAUUCUUUCUAGAUUUUCAGUGUUCAAAUGGACGA
rnacentral:lncRNA from 1 species